rnacentral:rRNA from 1 species
UACGGAGGGUGCGAGCGUUGUCCGGAAUCACUGGGCGUAAAGGGCGCGUAGGCGGCUCGGUAAGCGUGUGGUGAAAGCCUGGGGCUCAACCCCGGGUCGGCCAUGCGAACUGUCGAGCUGGAGCACUGUAGAGGCAGGCGGAAUUCCGGGUGUAGCGGUGGAAUGCGUAGAGAUCCGGAAGAACACCGGUGGCGAAGGCGGCCUGCUGGGCAGUAGCUGACGCUGAGACGCGAAAGCGUGGGGAGCAAACAGG